GGGCUUGACAUCCCACGAACCUGCCCGAAAAGGUGGGGUGCCCGCAAGGGAGCGUGGAGACAGGUGGUGCAUGGCUGUCGUCAGCUCGUGUCGUGAGAUGUUGGGUUAAGUCCCGCAACGAGCGCAACCCUCACCCCUAGCUGCCACCGGGUUAAGCCGAGCACUCAAGGGGAACUGCCAGCGUCAAGCUGGAGGAAGGCGGGGAUGACGUCAAGUCAUCAUGCCCCUUACGCCCUGGGCUACACACGUGCUACAAUGGCCAGUACAAAGGGACGCGAGACUGCGAAGUGGAGCUAAUCCCAAAAAGCUGGUCUAAGUUCAGAUUGCAGUCUGCAACUCGACUGCAUGAAGGAGGAAUCGCUAGUAAUCGCGUAUCAGCCCGGCGCGGUGAAUACGUUCCCGGGCCUUGUACACACCGCCCGUCACACCACGAAAGCUGUCUGUACUCGAAGUCGCUGAG
rnacentral:rRNA from 1 species